GAGGGUAUAGCUGAGUGGUAGAGUGCUUGUUUAGCAUGUUUGAAGUUCUGGGUUCAAUCCCCAGUACCUCCA
rnacentral:tRNA from 1 species